AACGCGAAGAACCUUACCAAGGUUUGACAUCCUGCGAAGGCAUCCGAAAGGAAGCUGUGCUUUUAGAACGCAGUGACAGGUGGCGCAUGGCCGUCGUCAGCUCGUGUCGUGAGAUGUUUGGUUAAGUCCAUCAACGAGCGCAACCCUUAUAGUUAGUUGCUUUUUCUAGCUAGACUGCCCUGGUAACAGGGAGGAAGGAGGGGAUGAUGUCAGGUCAGUAUCUCCCUUACACCUUGGGCUACAAACACGCUACAAUGGCCAGUACAAAGGGCAGCCAAGUCGCGAGACGGAGCAAAUCCCAUCAAAGCUGGUCUCAGUUCGGAUUGUAGGCUGAAACUCGCCUGCAUGAAGCUGGAAUCGCUAGUAACGGUAGGUCAGCAUUACUACCGUGAAUACGUUCCCGGGCCUUGUACACACCGCGUGUCU
rnacentral:rRNA from 1 species